CCCUCCUACAAAGGCAUAUUGGUGGUUUCCUGUCCUUGGACAUGCAAGAAUUGGAGGCAAAGAGAUGUCAACUUGGAGAAGUCUGGAGUCAGCUUGCUCCACGCAGGCUCAAGAUCACCCUUUCCCACAG
rnacentral:snoRNA from 1 species